rnacentral:rRNA from 1 species
CCUACGGGGGGCAGCAGUGGGGAAUAUUGCACAAUGGGGGAAACCCUGAUGCAGCGACGCCGCGUGAGUGAAGAAGUAUUUCGGUAUGUAAAGCUCUAUCAGCAGGAACGAGACAAGACGGUACCUGACUAAGAAGCCCCGGCUAACUACGUGCCAGCAGCCGCGGUACUACGUAGGGGGCCAGCGUUUUCCGGAAUCACUGGGUGUAAGGGGAGCGUAGACGGCUGUUCAAGCCUGAAGUGAAAGGCGGGGGCCCAACCCCCGGACUGCUUUGGGAACUGUACGGCUGGAGUGCAGGAGAGGUAAGUGGAAUUCCUGGUGUAGCGGUGAAAUGCGUAGAUAUUAGGAGGAACACCAGUGGCGAAGGCGGCUUACUGGACUGUAACUGACGUUGAGGCUCGAAAGCGUGGGGAGCAAACAGGAUUAGAUACCCGUGUAGUC